AGAGCCUUCAUUCCCUCGCAAGAAGUCUCACAAGUAUUGUCAAUAUUUGAGUCGAGUGUCAUUCAGAGCAUCGUGGCUUCAUUUUUCAUUUAUUCUUCGCGUCUAAAAGAGUGAUUAGUGGAUAAUGAAUGCAGAACGUGCUGCUGAAAUUACGCAAGUUUUAGCAGUAUUUAAAUGAUUUUAUGUUGGCUAUCGAUUCCAGCAUUUCUCCACCACGGUGUUGCCAUACGGUGUGAUCAGUGCGGAAAAAUUAACAUUUUUAUUUUCUCAGAAAAUAUUACAUGAUUCUCAAAACAGCAAAACGCUAGUUAUUAUAUGUGCCAGAACACAAACGGUGAUAAGAAUAAAAUUCUACGAUAAAGUUUAAUUCGUGCUAUAAAAAGGAACGAUAAAGAAAAGAGCCAACUGUAACAUCCGGAGGGGUGUAGUUUGGCUCAGCGACUAGCUGAGCGAUCUGGAAGCGAAGUGGGAACAAUAAGCAACCCCGUGCUACAGCGAGUCUAUACACAAAUCUCCAUUCAAGAUGGCAGACAAGGAGUUUGAAGAAUUUCGCCAAUUUUUUGAGCAGCUUCCACAACAUAUAAAGGCUCCAUCCAACUGCUACACGUGAGUACCAAUGUGCCCUUCACUAGUUUACGGAAGGUAAUGAGGCCAUAGCAGCAGUAAAGGUCUGUUUAUUUCUGUAUCGUACGAGGAAUAUAUAUAUUAAGGUAAGUUAUGUGGCCUUUAAUUUACGAUGUUCUUUAGCAGUAGCGUAAAAUAUUUCAAAACUCUUUGUAAGUAAACUGGAAUAUCUACGUUACAUUUCAGAAGCAAAAACACUUGGCUAAUAACUUUCAAAGAAACCGAGAAUAAUAAAGAAAAUGUAUGCCAAUACAUAUCAAUUUUCACGUACCUACGCACGCAUACAUGUGUACAUAUUACAGGCGUACAAACAAGAAAACACGUAAACACGCUCGCUCAAAUACACACACGCACACCCCUACCACCAAGAUAUGCUAUCCGUAGCCUCUGGACGAAAACAGUGACCCUUAAUGGGGUCCCUUGACACCAACAUCAUUAGCCCUCAAGAAAAGCCCACAAUAACAGGUCAUUAAUCAUGUAGGAAAUGGAAACACACAAAUGCACCAACGCAUUAAGGAUGUAAAUCCUAAAACAGUAACUACAGAAAAGGAAAAGUGGGAAUAAAAACGUUACGGUGGAACUAAAAUUGACAAGUUGGAAAUGGACAAAUAGGGAAAGGUAAAAAAAUAUGCAUUAUCUUACACAGAAAUGUUAAAAUGUAGGAAAGAGAACAAAAACAUGUUAAACCGAAGAAAGAAAUUAAUGGUGAAAGGAACUUUUAAAUAGUUCCUUUCAAAUAUAAAGCCAUUUCAACACAACACAGGCAAAAAUUACGGGAAUGUCAAAUAAUGUAACAGCAUAAUAUGAACGUAAACAAAACGACCAAUAAACGACGCAAUUGGAAAAUUGGUGUUAAAAUGCACAACUAUGGUAUGAAAGAUAAUGCAAAAGUGACAAAACACAAACUAAGACUGGAAAGGUUAAAAAAAAAAAAGACUUUCAACAUGAUUGACCGUGGACUAAAAUUCACAACCAACACAAUAUGGAUACCAAUCUUAGAGGUGACAUUAUCACAGCUAAAAAUGCCAUAAUACAAAGCCGCUGCCUCAAAAAUGCAUGAUCAUUUAAAAACCUAAAGUCACAGAAACGUCCAAAAUAUCACAAUUUAUAUAUUUGCUGUUCAUAUGUAACUAAAGCAGAUAAAACGCCGAGUUUACGAAGCCACAUUUUUAAGCGCAUACCGAACUAGGAAAUGUUUGAAUUAAUACCCCUCUUUGGUGGCAUCUUUUUUCAAUGGCGUUCGAAAAUACAAAAAUGCCAUGACAUGGAAUCAGUUAACUUUAGCUAAAAUUUACUCCGACUUUCUCCUGAAACGUUUACCUAGAUGUUAAAAUUUCAGGGAUUUCAUCUUUUGGUUGGUUAUAUGCAAAGUGAACAGGAAAUAUCAGAGCCCCUAACAGACAGUCCUUACUCAAUGGAUAUUAUCGGUUCGAAAUUAACCAAGAACGCACAAUGAGAGAGAGAGAGAGAGAGAGAGAGAGAACUGGAUGGUGCCAGUGAAAGAGUUCUUAAACGACGCACUUAAACUGCCACCAGAAUGGCUUCGGGAACUCUUGUGUCCUCGGCCUCACUGCUUCUCUCUCGAGUUCUAAGCAUAAUUUCCUUUGCUUCAGCGCGGUAACUUGAGAAAUGACCUACCCAAGACCAAACUCCGUGGAAGCACUUACUGCUUAUGGGCGAGAAGUAUGCAGGCCCUAAAUUUAAUGGCAAACGUACUUAACAGUUAGAUCCACUAUAAUACUGCCAAUGAAAGAUAUAACUUGAAAUAAAUAUUCACAGCAGCGUAUACAUGACCGAGUCUUCAUACAUUCUGGCGAAAUGUAGUCACUCUCAUUUAUUAGCUGAAAGACAUCACUUCAGAAUCAAAACUCCCGAGAACAUUUAUUAAUCUGAGCAAAAACCUUGCUGGCAAUCAAUUGCUUAUUUUGCUUGGUCUUACUACGAAAAUUAACAAACUCAGCUAUCUAAAUAUCACUGCACCAAGGAAUUUAAUGUAUCAAGGGACACUAUAAGAAAGGAAACUAAACUUCUCCAUUUCCGAACAUGUUCCGACUACAAUGGUGUCUCAUUAAAAAACAAACCCUCACUUCAUUGUAAAACUACAGAAACAGACUAAAACUACAAAAACACACAGAGUUACAAAGCACAAAGCAUCAAAGAAAACAAGCUAAUGAUCUUGGAUAAGCAUCCUCCAGCCCGAGACAGGAGCCGGCUACGGUAACUUGGGAAUUUGCAAACUUUGAAAUUCUAAACUUACCACGCAUGAAAUUUUCAACGCAUCUCAUUAACAUACAACAUUAGCAACGCAGGAACCAUAUAGGGGGUCAUUUUAGUGUACCAAAUUCAGAACAAAUUCUAACAUACUUCCAUUCAUAGCUACUUCCGGAAAAUGAUUCCAUUUUGAAAAAAAGCGCAAACACACACACAACCAACCAACCAACAACAACAACAACAACAAUAACCAAUACUUCUUUGAAAUCUUGUAAAAAUAUUUAUCGAUAGUAAAAUACAAUUUGGACAUUACACCUAUAGUACUACAUCAGGUUUACAAUGAAAGCCAGCAUUACCUAAAGGCAUAAUUCUAACAGAUUUAAUGUGCAGUAACAAAAAUGUAACUCAGAGAGAGAGAGAGAGAGAGAGAGAGAGAGAGAGAGAGAGAGAGAGAGAGAGAGAGAGAGAGAGAGAGAGAGAGAGAGAGAGAGAGACCCUACCGCAGGAGGGGUUAGCAGGAGGCGCAGUAAUUCAAUAUAUCUUCCAUUACAAGAAGAUAAACAGAAUGAACCAGAUUGAGGUAAACCUAACCUCUAGUACUUAUUGCCUUCACCGAAGGGUACACUAUCCUCUUUAUUUUUACAAAUAAGAGAAAUUUUUUUACUACAUUUUAACCUAAUUACCGAGUGUAAAGAUGGACGAAAGGGCUAAAAGCUUCAGUUGUCUUCUAACUGCUCUAACUUCCAGAGUGGGUAUAAAAACCAAAGACUCUCUCUCUCUCUCUCUCUCUCUCUCUCUCUCUCUCUCUCUCUCUCUCCAUUUUACGGACCCAAAACGCUGAAAACUUUUAGGUAAAUUGUACGCCUCCACUUCGAGGUAAUCUACAACAGGGAACAGAACGGAAUCCACACCUAAAAUCGAACACCCAGUAAAACGCUGUUCGACUGCGGUGAUAGUUACAAUGGAUUAUCUACGAACAAAAUCUGUAGUCCUAAUUAUAUAAUGAGCGUAGGACUGCAUACAUGUCAAAUAACAUGGAAUCAUCACAUAUAUUUUUUGUCUGUAAUACUGUUUGUUACAAGUGACAUACUUAUUAUACUUCUACUAAAAUAUUUUGAUAGGCGCAAAUAAUGUCAAUCGCAUUCAUAAAGUAUCAAAACAAUGAUACAAGUGUCUAUAUUAAGUAUGUAUACAAGUGUCUAUAUUAAGUAUGUAUAUCAGAACAAUAUAUGUACAAACUCUACGACAGUGGUUGCAGUAAACAGUCCCUACUUCCUCGAACAUCCAAACUGUACCAAAACGACCAUACGAAAAGUCGAAAUCGCUUUUCUUCCUUGACACAUUAAGUCUGCAUAAAUAUACAUAGCUGCUUCAUCAUGGAGAAAGGGACACCACAGCUGCAGUGGUAGGGGUGUACUGUUGGAUGUAUGUGUAUGUGCGAGCAGACAAACGGAAAUACUCUCGGAUUCCCCUGCAGCUGUGGUGUUCCUCUUUCCUUGAUGAAGCAGCUAUAAUGCAUAUAUAAAUAUAAAUAUAAAUGUAAAUAUAAAUGUAAAUAUAAAUAUAAAUAUAUAUAUGUAUAUAUAUACAUACUAUAAAUUUCAGUAGAUACACGUGAAUUCAUUAAAUAAGCGAAAA